CCCUUAGAUGUCCUGGGCUGCACGCGCGCUACACUGAUGUGUUCAAUAAGCACCUAACCUACUCCGAAGGGACUGGGUAACCUUUGCAAAGCACAUCGUGAUGGGGAUAGAUUAUUGCAAUUAUUAGUCUUGAACGAGGAAUUCCUAGUAAGCGCAAGUCAUCAGCUUGUGUUGAUUACGUCCCUGCCCUUUGUACACACCGCCCGUCGCUCCUACCGAUCGAGUGAUCCGGUGAAUACUUCGGAGUGUGAACUCUACAAUUUCUGUUUUGUUCGCGCAAAGUUGAAUAAACCUUAUCACUUAGAGGAAGGAGAAGUCGUAACA
rnacentral:rRNA from 1 species